rnacentral:misc_RNA from 1 species
GCUGUGGUUUCUCUAUGGAUUUAGGAAUUAACAUUCUUGUGGAUAAGUCUCUCAUUACUAUUUCAAAUAACAAGUUGUGGAUGCAUGAUUUGCUACAAGAAAUGGGUUGGGAAAUUGUUCAGAAAGAAUCUAUUGANNGGCAAACGUAGCAGAUUGUGGCACCACGAGGAUGUCUAUCAUGUGUUGACAAAAAAUACGGGGACUCAAGAGGUUGAGGGCAUAGCUUUAGACCUCUCUCAAACGAAAGAGUUGCGCUUGACCUCCAAUACUUUCAAGAAGAUGUAUAAUCUUAGA